rnacentral:rRNA from 1 species
AUCGGAGAGCUUGCUCGAAGAUGGUGAGAGUGGCGCACGGGUGCGUAACGCGUGAGCAACCUACCUCUAUCAGGGGGAUAGCCUCUCGAAAGAGAGAUUAACACCGCAUAAUAUAAUUUCCCGGCAUCGACGAAUUAUUAAAUAUUUAUAGGAUAGAGAUGGGCUCGCGUGACAUUAGCUAGUUGGUAGGGUAACGGCUUACCAAGGCGACGAUGUCUAGGGGCUCUGAGAGGAGAAUCCCCCACACUGGUACUGAGACACGGACCAGACUCCUACGGGAGGCAGCAGUAAGGAAUAUUGGUCAAUGGGCGGAAGCCUGAACCAGCCAUGCCGCGUGCAGGAUGACUGCCCUAUGGGUUGUAAACUGCUUUUGUCCAGGAAUAAACCUAUAUACGUGUAUCUAGCUGAAUGUACUGGAAGAAUAAGGAUCGGCUAACUCCGUGCCAGCAGCCGCGGUAAUACGGAGGAUCCGAGCGUUAUCCGGAUUUAUUGGGUUUAAAGGGUGCGUAGGCGGCCUAUUAAGUCAGGGGUGAAAUACGGUGGCUCAACCAUCGCAGUGCCUUUGAUACUGAUGGGCUUGAAUCCAUUUGAAGUGGGCGGAAUAAGACAAGUAGCGGUGAAAUGCAUAGAUAUGUCUUAGAACUCCGAUUGCGAAGGCAGCUCACUAAGCUGGUAUUGACGCUGAUGCACGAAAGCGUGGGGAUCGAACAGGAUUAGAUACCCUGGUAGUCCACGCCCUAAACGAUGAUAACUCGAUGUUGGCGAUAGACAGCCAGCGUCCCAGCGAAAGCGUUAAGUUAUCCACCUGGGGAGUACGCCCGCAAGGGUGAAACUCAAAGGAAUUGACGGGGGCCCGCACAAGCGGAGGAGCAUGUGGUUUAAUUCGAUGAUACGCGAGGAACCUUACCCGGGCUUGAAAGUUAGUGAAGAGUGCAGAGACGCACUCGUCCUUCGGGACACGAAACUAGGUGCUGCAUGGCUGUCGUCAGCUCGUGCCGUGAGGUGUUGGGUUAAGUCCCGCAACGAGCGCAACCCCUAUGUUUAGUUGCCAGCAU